AUGCAUGCAUAUUGUUUAAAGCAGAUUCUGACAGAAGCGUUUAAAGAUGUUUUCAGAGGAAUCAGGAAACUCCAAAGAGCUCCCAUAAAAACGUCAACAUCCAGCUGUGUCUCAAUCAAAGGCUGUUUUUGUGCGUCAGUUCCCCAUAAACAUGAUGGGCAUGAUCUACAGAGGAGCACCUCAUCACACAACGAUAGUCAGCUCUGAUAUUCAGGCACAAUCAUUCAAAAUGUUUCAGACAGGGAAGACAAAUAAAAUUACUACACAAAAACAUUAAA